rnacentral:rRNA from 1 species
UACGUAGGCAGCGAGCGUUGUUCGGAGUUACUGGGCGUAAAGGGUGUGUAGGCGGUUCUUUAAGUUUGGUGCGAAAUCUCCCGGCUCAACCGGGAGGGUGCGCCGAAUACUGAGGGACUAGAGUACGGGAGAGGAAAGUGGAAUUCCUGGUGUAGCGGUAAAAUGCGUAGAUAUCAGGAGGAACACCGGUGGUGUAGACGGCUUUCUGGACCGUAACUGACGCUGAGACACGAAAGCGUGGGUAGCAAACAGG